GAUGAACGCUAGCUACAGGCUUAACACAUGCAAGUCGAGGGGCAGCACAGUGUAGCAAUACAUGGGUGGCGACCGGCGCACGGGUGCGUAACGCGUAUCCAACCUUCCCGUUACUCUUGGAUAGCCUUCCGAAAGGGAGAUUAAUACAAGAUGGUAUUCAAAUUCCGCAUGUUAUUUGAAUUAAAGAUUAAUCGGUAACGGAUGGGGAUGCGUGACAUUAGAUAGUAGGCGGGGUAACGGCCCACCUAGUCUACGAUGUCUAGGGGUUCUGAGAGGAAGGUCCCCCACACUGGAACUGAGACACGGUCCAAACUCCUACGGGAGGCAGCAGUGAGGAAUAUUGGUCAAUGGUCGGAAGACUGAACCAGCCAAGUAGCGUGAAGGAUGAAGGUUCUAUGGAUUGUAAACUUCUUUUAUACGGGAAUAAAACACCUUACGUGUAGGGUCUUGUAUGUACCGUAUGAAUAAGCAUCGGCUAACUCCGUGCCAGCAGCCG
rnacentral:rRNA from 1 species